rnacentral:rRNA from 1 species
AGCGCAUACGGUGGAUGCCUUGGCAGUCAGAGGCGAUGAAAGACGUGGUAGCCUGCGAUAAGCUUCGGGGAGUCGGCAAACAGACUUUGAUCCGGAGAUCUCUGAAUGGGGGAACCCACCUGGCAUAAGUCAGGUAUCUUGUACUGAAUACAUAGGUGCAAGAGGCGAACCAGGGGAACUGAAACAUCUAAGUACCCUGAGGAAAAGAAAUCAACCGAGAUUCCCUUAGUAGUGGCGAGCGAACGGGGACUAGCCCUUAAGUGGCUUUGAGAUUAGCGGAACGCUCUGGAAAGUGCGGCCAUAGUGGGUGAUAGCCCUGUACGCGAAAAUCUCUUAGUCAUGAAAUCGAGUAGGACGGAGCACGAGAAACUUUGUCUGAAUAUGGGGGGACCAUCCUCCAAGGCUAAAUACUACUGACUGACCGAUAGUGAACCAGUACCGUGAGGGAAAGGCGAAAAGAACCCCGGAGAGGGGAGUGAAAUAGAUCCUGAAACCGUAUGCGUACAAGCAGUGGGAGCCUACUUUGUUAGGUGACUGCGUACCUUUUGUAUAAUGGGUCAGCGACUUAUAUUCAGUGGCGAGCUUAACCGAAUAGGGGAGGCGUAGCGAAAGCGAGUCUUAAUAGGGCGUUUAGUCGCUGGGUAUAGACCCGAAACCGGGCGAUCUAUCCAUGGGCAGGUUGAAGGUUAGGUAACACUGACUGGAGGACCGAACCGACUACCGUUGAAAAGUUAGCGGAUGACCUGUGGAUCGGAGUGAAAGGCUAAUCAAGCUCGGAGAUAGCUGGUUCUCCUCGAAAGCUAUUUAGGUAGCGCCUCAUGUAUCACUGUAGGGGGUAGAGCACUGUUUCGGCUAGGGGGUCAUCCCGACUUACCAAACCGAUGCAAACUCCGAAUACCUACAAGUGCCGAGCAUGGGAGACACACGGCGGGUGCUAACGUCCGUCGUGAAAAGGGAAACAACCCAGACCGUCAGCUAAGGUCCCAAAGUUAUGGUUAAGUGGGAAACGAUGUGGGAAGGCUUAGACAGCUAGGAGGUUGGCUUAGAAGCAGCCACCCUUUAAAGAAAGCGUAAUAGCUCACUAGUCGAGUCGGCCUGCGCGGAAGAUGUAACGGGGCUCAAACCAUACACCGAAGCUACGGGUAUCACUUAGGUGAUGCGGUAGAGGAGCGUUCUGUAAGCCUGUGAAGGUGAGUUGAGAAGCUUGCUGGAGGUAUCAGAAGUGCGAAUGCUGACAUGAGUAACGACAAUGGGAGUGAAAAACUCCCACGCCGAAAGACCAAGGUUUCCUGCGCAACGUUAAUCGACGCAGGGUUAGUCGGUCCCUAAGGCGAGGCUGAAAAGCGUAGUCGAUGGAAAACAGGUUAAUAUUCCUGUACUUCUGGUUAUUGCGAUGGAGGGACGGAGAAGGCUAGGCCAGCUUGGCGUUGGUUGUCCAAGUUUAAGGUGGUAGGCUGAGAUCUUAGGUAAAUCCGGGAUCUUAAGGCCGAGAGCUGAUGACGAGUUGCCAUUAGGCGACGAAGUGGUUGAUGCCAUGCUUCCAAGAAAAGCUUCUAAGCUUCAGGUAACCAGGAACCGUACCCCAAACCGACACAGGUGGUUGGGUAGAGAAUACCAAGGCGCUUGAGAGAACUCGGGUGAAGGAACUAGGCAAAAUGGCACCGUAACUUCGGGAGAAGGUGCGCCGGUGAGGGUGAAGGACUUGCUCCGUAAGCUCAUGCCGGUCGAAGAUACCAGGCCGCUGCGACUGUUUAUUAAAAACACAGCACUCUGCAAACACGAAAGUGGACGUAUAGGGUGUGACGCCUGCCCGGUGCCGGAAGGUUAAUUGAUGGGGUUAGCUAACGCGAAGCUCUUGAUCGAAGCCCCGGUAAACGGCGGCCGUAACUAUAACGGUCCUAAGGUAGCGAAAUUCCUUGUCGGGUAAGUUCCGACCUGCACGAAUGGCGUAACGAUGGCGGCGCUGUCUCCACCCGAGACUCAGUGAAAUUGAAAUCGCUGUGAAGAUGCAGUGUAUCCGCGGCUAGACGGAAAGACCCCGUGAACCUUUACUAUAGCUUUGCACUGGACUUUGAAUUUGCUUGUGUAGGAUAGGUGGGAGGCUUUGAAGCGUGGACGCCAGUCUGCGUGGAGCCAUCCUUGAAAUACCACCCUGGCAACUUUGAGGUUCUAACUCAGGUCCGUUAUCCGGAUCGAGGACAGUGUAUGGUGGGUAGUUUGACUGGGGCGGUCUCCUCCUAAAGAGUAACGGAGGAGUACGAAGGUGCGCUCAGACCGGUCGGAAAUCGGUCGUAGAGUAUAAAGGCAAAAGCGCGCUUGACUGCGAGACAGACACGUCGAGCAGGUACGAAAGUAGGUCUUAGUGAUCCGGUGGUUCUGUAUGGAAGGGCCAUCGCUCAACGGAUAAAAGGUACUCCGGGGAUAACAGGCUGAUACCGCCCAAGAGUUCAUAUCGACGGCGGUGUUUGGCACCUCGAUGUCGGCUCAUCACAUCCUGGGGCUGAAGCCGGUCCCAAGGGUAUGGCUGUUCGCCAUUUAAAGUGGUACGCGAGCUGGGUUUAGAACGUCGUGAGACAGUUCGGUCCCUAUCUGCCGUGGACGUUUGAGAUUUGAGAGGGGCUGCUCCUAGUACGAGAGGACCGGAGUGGACGAACCUCUGGUGUUCCGGUUGUCACGCCAGUGGCAUUGCCGGGUAGCUAUGUUCGGAAGAGAUAACCGCUGAAAGCAUCUAAGCGGGAAACUUGCCUCAAGAUGAGAUCUCACUGGAGCCUUGAGCUCCCUGAAGGGCCGUCGAAGACUACGACGUUGAUAGGUUGGGUGUGUAAGCGCUGUGAGGCGUUGAGCUAACCAAUACUAAUUGCCCGUGAGGCUUGACC